CUCCGUAUAGCUCAGUUUGGUAGAGCGCCUGGUUUGGGACCAGGAGGUCCAAGGUUCGAAUCCUUGUACGGAGACCA
rnacentral:tRNA from 2 species